ensembl:lncRNA
CAGAAACUUUCUGAAAUCUUCCAGAAUUUUCUUUCUAUCCUUGAGGUGUCAUUUUACAUGAGAGUUCUCAGUGGGUCUUUUCAAACUGGAGACUCAUGAUCAUGACAAUCUGGUGGAGUCCGGGGCAGGUUGUUCUACCUGGACGUCAGGCUGCAAUCACACAGCCAAGAGCAGCAGGACAAUAGAUGUUUGGGCCCGAGGCGUCACUUGCCCUCCAUGUCAUGCAGUUCUGGGGGAGCAGCCUGGACAAGUUGAGUGCCACCUUCUUAACCCUCCUUGGACUCCAGAGAAAGCUGCAUGUCACCCCCAGCUGGACUACAGAGAGGAACUUCUUGCAAACUGGAGUGAAAUACCACGUCUAGGACAGAGACACUGAUACAACCUAGUGACCUUAGCCCCAGUUCAUCAACCCCUGUGAACUGAGACAGAACUUGGCAGCGAUGACUUGGUUUGGUCUGGACACUGGGCAGGGGUGACCCAGACAGCUGGAGAAUAGUCAAGGGCAGGAUGGCUGUCCAUACUGCAUGGCCUGCUUGAGGUAAGCAAGCUUCCCCCCUGGCUGCUCAGGUGGGGAAAGAGGAGGGACCUGCUGUCCCUGUAAAAGAGUAGGGCCAGAACAUGCAGUGGCAUUCCCACUAUAUGGUAUCACUUAGAGAGACCCCACCAUGGUACUCCAGCUUCUUAGCUCACCCACUGUGAUCAUAACUUCUGCUGCAGCUAAGUAGGCCUCUGUUCACAAGCUGACAGAUGUCCCCAAGUGUUACUCCAGUGCCUGCUCCACCCUCGGCAGCCUUCUUCCCCUUCCACACAAAGGGCCUGGGCCUGAGAGCACCCUUGGCCCAGAGCUCUAUCCUAGCACACUGGGGAGGGCAUCAGGAGGGGUGCAGAGGAGAAGUCAUGGAGAUGAAGCUUGGGCUGCUGUGCACGUGGAGUCCAGAGUGGCAUUGGUGACCAUUGUUUCUUUUCUGCAAAGAGCUGGUAACUGGAGUGCUACUUUGGUUUUGAUUUUCCACAAGAAGGAAAAGGGCAAGGACACUUUGUUUGCUCAUAGAGCUCCUUCCCACAUCCCAGAGCCCAGGGGGAUUGGUGGAAAGAUUGAUGUGUGACAUUUAUGUCUGGGGUGUGGAAACUCAUUGUUUAUUUCUAUAAAUCCAUUCUGCUGCCCAUAGUCUCAAUAGACAAGUGUUGGUUCCGGGUAGUUUAACUGUAAGAUGACUUCAGGCAAAAUCCUCUGCCUCUAAGGAGGAGCCUUACAACAGGAUGUAAUAGAAUUUGUGUGUGCAAGUUUUCUUGAAAGACAGAAAGGAGAUGAGGUACUAUUUCUAGGUGGUUUGAGAUCAUGUUAUAAUAGAAAGUAAAUUUCAGCCAUGCUUCUCUGAAAAUUCAGCACAGUAAGUCAAGUCACUAUGUGCUGGACCUGCCUGUGCUCACUUUAAGGGGACAACUGAAUGGAUGCUGCUUAACCAGAAAUAAGGAAAGAUGUCCAAGUCUGCUGCCUGUUGAGGCAGAGUAUGGAAUGGGGAGGCCUCGUGCUUUUGUGCACACUGGGCACUGAGCAAGGACACAGUUGUCACUGGUUUCAAUUUGCAUCUCUCUAGGUGGGCUAGAGAUGAUGACAACUACUGAGGUAGAUUGGCAGUCAUCAGUGGGGAACUGGACAACUUCAAAGACAGCCAUACUUACCAAGUUAUUAUCAUGUGGAGAUGCAGGUUAAAGAAGAUGGCUCUGCCAACCUCUUCAGACUUGCUAUGAAAUGUCAGUGCAGCUAAUAUUAUAGACAGCUAAGUUAGGAAAAUAUUAUAGGCAAUCAGACAGGGCUAGAGCCUCAAAGGGGUCAGUGCAGAAGAUAAGAACACAUUACAACUGUGGCUGGAGGUGCAUUUAUUGAAGGCCAGUCCUCAAAAUAAAGAUGGAAUGACUAGGCCUACAUAUCUCCCUGAGGGAUAAACAAUAUACUCUAAUCAGUAUUACCUGGUCCAAUAAAGUCUAGAGAGACAUUAGUUACCCAGUGGGUGACCAGGACCUUCUGACUCAUCCUUUCCAAAAAAGGUCCUUGUUCUUUCCAUGCACACUUGCUAUGUGACCUGCUUCCACAUUGGCUCAAUAUUAACUAAGUGGCUAUAUUUGUAAUCCUAUUGUCUGAUCAAUGUUUUGCUCAACAUUGUACUCACCUUGUGAUUUUGUACCCACCUCGUGGUUUUGCUCUAUAAAACUUCCUCUGUAGAAUGGAGUCCAAGCCAACCUACUUGGGCCCCCUCCUGUCUCUCAGGAGCUAAAUCUCCUGGCCCCCUCAAUAAAUAUCUCCC